rnacentral:sRNA from 1 species
AUGGAAAUAACUCAACUGUCUGGUUCACUGGCUUGUGGAAUUAAUGUUAAGAAAUGUGAAAGAAGGUCUAUUAAAAACAUGGCGAAAAGAUUUGGGUCCAAAAUCUCAAGGGAAGGUCAUCAUGUUCCUUACUUUGCAGCGUGUGAUAAUAGACAAUUGAGGUUUAGCAAUGUUGCUAGGCGAUGUGGGUUGAUUAGUGAGCAACAAACAUCAGAUUAUGAGUUGAGUGCUUCUAGUUUGGAGGUUCAGGAUAUUAUAGCAUCCAAAAAUGGGACCGUACCGAGCAAGAGAAUCUUGUAAGAUGCCAGACUUAAAAACCUUUUUUAUUUUUUCAUUUUUGCUACUUGUUAUUACAAAUGAGUUUUGAGUAUUAAUUUAAACAAAAUUGGUACUUUGAAUAGUAUUGCAUCACUGUGUGAGAACCCAGUGAAGCCCUGAGCUUAUCUUUUUUUUUCUUUUUUUCUUUUUUUAGCUACAAAGUUCUGAGCUUAUCUUCUGACUCUAGAUUUGUUAAUUUUAUUGAAUUCCUGAAAAAUUUUUACAGUGAGAUUGCUGAGACACCCUCAACCAGUGAAUCACACACUCCAAGUGUCCAAACUGAGCUUAUAAUGCUUUCUUUACCAGCAAUUGCUGGACAAGCAAUCGAGCCCUUGGCACAACUGAUGGAAACUGCUUACAUUGGAAGAUUGGGUUAGAUUUUUUACUCAAUGAGUUCUCUCUUCAAAUAAACCACUACGAUUAAACAAUGGGUAAUCAUAAAUAGUGGGGAUGAAAUCAGCUUAAUGACAUGUGUCAUAUCUAAAAUUGCUGCAGGGCUCCUCUUAGCUUGAGUCAUUUUUGUUACUUAAGUUUGUUUUGUCUUAACUAGCAACUUUUUGUCUUGAUUUUGGUUGAUGUGCAUAAUUGGUCAUCAAUUAUUGUCAGCUUUGUCUACCAACUAUAGUGUCUGGUUUAGGUUUAGUCAAAACUGAGUUGAUGUACAAUUGGCUCCAAUCACUUCCAUAUUCAAGAGAUUAUUUUAUUGAUUGAUUGGGAGGGACACACUUGGAAUAUGGAGCAUGUAGGCUGGUUUAUAAAGGCUCCAUUUUUUGUCACAGAAGUAAUGAGGGAAAGAAAAACCAUCUAAUUGCUUGAGAAAUUAGCUUCCUAUCAUAAGAAUUUUAACGAUUUUUCUUUCCAUUCUACCCCUCUUCCUGUGAUCUAAAUGGAAUCUGAGAGUGUGGAGUAUCAAUCUUCUAGGAUUUUUGAGUUUAUAUACUCUUAUGUUUUUUACAUUUGGCGUAUUAGAUUUUUGAAAUAUGAUGCAUCAUACAACUAAUGCAAGAAAUUUGGUGACUGUGUGUUGGAUUUUCAUUUAUUAGUUACUUUCUCAUACUGAUUCUUGCUUCCUUUGGCUAAAGUUAACAUUUUGUGCAAAAGUACUUUUUUAGCAUAUGCUAAAUAAGCCCUUGGUUUUAUCCAUUUGAAAAGGGCCCUUGGAGUUGGCAUCGGCGGGUCUUUCUAUGUCAAUUUUCAACAUCAUAUCAAAGGUUUUCAAUAUCCCUCUUCUCAGUGUUGCAACGUCAUUUGUGGCUGAAGACAUAUCAAAGAACGCAAGCAAGGAAUCUAAUUCAGGUGAAACCACAACAGAUGCUAGAAUUUCUUCUCUUGAACUUCAAAGCAUGCCAUAUUGAGUUCCUCGCUUCUCUAUUUGAAAUAAUUGACGUACAGCUUUUGGUGGAAUGGCUGAAAGAAAGCUUCUACCCUCAGUCUCUACUGCCUUACUUUUAUCAGUUGCAAUUGGUACUUUUGAGGCUUUGGCAAUGUAUUUGGGGUCUGGAAUAUUUCUGAACAUUAUGGGCAUAUCAUCUGUGAGUAAAACUUUGUUAAGAGUACAUAUGAUAUUAGUGCAUUCCUAUUAUUUACCUCCUAUUGACGAGUAACAUUUGCAUUGUAAUUUUGAUCUCACAUUCCAUUUUCCAUUUAUAGAGUGAACUAACUUCUAAUGCUUAUUUCUCUAAAAAGGCUUCAUCCAUGCGCAUUCCAUCAGAAAAAUUUCUUAAACUUAGAGCAAUUGGUGCUCCGGCAGUUGUUGUUUCUCUGGCCAUUCAAGGCAUCUUCCGUGGAUUUAAGGAUACAAAGACCCCUGUAUUAUGUUUAGGCAAGUGCUCAGCUUACCUUCUGAAACUUAUAUGAAGAAAGGAAUAUGAAUGUCAUUGGACUGCAUUGGUAUUUUAUGCAAUGAGCAUGUGUCACUGUUCCAACAUAAACCCGUAUAUCACAAAAAACAGUCAUUUUAUCGUGGCUUUUUUUUUAUAUUGUUUAAAGCAUUUGUAGAAAGAUUUAAAGAAAAAACUAUUUUUUUGAUGCAUACUAAGCCACCCUAAUUUAUAUAUAUAUAUAUAUAUAUGCCGGCUAAAAGCUAUUAUAGCUGUAUAAACCACCCUGUGAUUUUUCACAUAUUUGCCUCCCUCUAUUAGUCACAUGUCUAAUGCUUCAAGUAGUGCUCAUCUUAUGGUAAUUUUUGGGUGUACAAGUGUGUGUGUGGAAGUCCCACAUAGAGAAAAAGUAAAUAAGUUGAUGAAUUAAUAUGACCUAAUUAGGUCUAAACCCAUAGGCUUAAUUUUUUGGGUUAAGUGUUGUUCCAUAUAACAUAUUAAGGUCUAAAUUGAAGUCUCCCCAAGGUGUUAUCUACAUAACAAGUGGUAUUAGAGCUAUGGUAGGUUAUACCUCAAAAGAAAAAAGAAAAAAAAAAAGCCAUGGUAGGUUUUGGCAAGGUGGCGACAAAAUGUGUGUACUUGGAGCUCACACAAGUGUGCAUCAUACAAGGCAAGCCCACAAUGCCCAUAUAAAUUAUCUUGGAAAAAGGCCCUAGAAUAUAGCAUUGUCAACGGUUCUAGAUCAAUGAAGAAUGGCGAAACACGAGGUUCCCAUAGAUAGGAAUAGGGUUCCUAUGGAGGGCGGGAAAAAUUAAAGAAGUAGAGAAAUUAAUAUAACAUAAUUGGAUCCAAACUCAUAGGUUUAAACUCUGGGGUUAAGUAGUGUCCCUAUAUGAUAUAUAAGGGCUCAAUUGAAGUGUUCCCAGGGUGUCGUCUCCCUAACAGUAACCACCACCCCCCCCCCUCUCCCCCCAUCUAAAAUUGGUACUUUGAAUAGUAUUGCAUCACUGUGUGAGAACCCAGUGAAGCCCUGAGCUUAUCUUUUUUUUUCUUUUUUUCUUUUUUUAGCUACAAAGUUCUGAGCUUAUCUUCUGACUCUAGAUUUGUUAAUUUUAUUGAAUUCCUGAAAAAUUUUUACAGUGAGAUUGCUGAGACACCCUCAACCAGUGAAUCACACACUCCAAGUGUCCAAACUGAGCUUAUAAUGCUUUCUUUACCAGCAAUUGCUGGACAAGCAAUCGAGCCCUUGGCACAACUGAUGGAAACUGCUUACAUUGGAAGAUUGGGUUAGAUUUUUUACUCAAUGAGUUCUCUCUUCAAAUAAACCACUACGAUUAAACAAUGGGUAAUCAUAAAUAGUGGGGAUGAAAUCAGCUUAAUGACAUGUGUCAUAUCUAAAAUUGCUGCAGGGCUCCUCUUAGCUUGAGUCAUUUUUGUUACUUAAGUUUGUUUUGUCUUAACUAGCAACUUUUUGUCUUGAUUUUGGUUGAUGUGCAUAAUUGGUCAUCAAUUAUUGUCAGCUUUGUCUACCAACUAUAGUGUCUGGUUUAGGUUUAGUCAAAACUGAGUUGAUGUACAAUUGGCUCCAAUCACUUCCAUAUUCAAGAGAUUAUUUUAUUGAUUGAUUGGGAGGGACACACUUGGAAUAUGGAGCAUGUAGGCUGGUUUAUAAAGGCUCCAUUUUUUGUCACAGAAGUAAUGAGGGAAAGAAAAACCAUCUAAUUGCUUGAGAAAUUAGCUUCCUAUCAUAAGAAUUUUAACGAUUUUUCUUUCCAUUCUACCCCGCUUCCUGUGAUCUAAAUGGAAUCUGAGAGUGUGGAGUAUCAAUCUUCUAGGAUUUUUGAGUUUAUAUACUCUUAUGUUGUUCACAUUUGGCGUAUUAGAUUUUUGAAAUAUGAUGCAUCAUACAACUAAUGCAAGAAAUUUGGUGACUGUGUGUUGGAUUUUCAUUUAUUAGUUACUUUCUCAUACUGAUUCUUGCUUCCUUUGGCUAAAGUUAACAUUUUGUGCAAAAGUACUUUUUUAGCAUAUGCUAAAUAAGCCCUUGGUUUUAUCCAUUUGAAAAGGGCCCUUGGAGUUGGCAUCGGCGGGUCUUUCUAUGUCAAUUUUCAACAUCAUAUCAAAGGUUUUCAAUAUUCCUCUUCUCAGUGUUGCAACGUCAUUUGUGGCUGAAGACAUAUCAAAGAACGCAAGCAAGGAAUCUAAUUCAGGUGAAACCACAACAGAUGCUAGAAUUUCUUCUCUUGAACUUCAAAGCAUGCCAUAUUGAGUUCCUCGCUUCUCUAUUUGAAAUAAUUGACGUACAGCUUUUGGUGGAAUGGCUGAAAGAAAGCUUCUACCCUCAGUCUCUACUGCCUUACUUUUAUCAGUUGCAAUUGGUACUUUUGAGGCUUUGGCAAUGUAUUUGGGGUCUGGAAUAUUUCUGAACAUUAUGGGCAUAUCAUCUGUGAGUAAAACUUUGUUAAGAGUACAUAUGAUAUUAGUGCAUUCCUAUUAUUUACCUCCUAUUGACGAGUAACAUUUGCAUUGUAAUUUUGAUCUCACAUUCCAUUUUCCAUUUAUAGAGUGAACUAACUUCUAAUGCUUAUUUCUCUAAAAAGGCUUCAUCCAUGCGCAUUCCAUCAGAAAAAUUUCUUAAACUUAGAGCAAUUGGUGCUCCGGCAGUUGUUGUUUCUCUGGCCAUUCAAGGCAUCUUCCGUGGAUUUAAGGAUACAAAGACCCCUGUAUUAUGUUUAGGCAAGUGCUCAGCUUACCUUCUGAAACUUAUAUGAAGAAAGGAAUAUGAAUGUCAUUGGACUGCAUUGGUAUUUUAUGCAAUGAGCAUGUGUCACUGUUCCAACAUAAACCCGUAUAUCACAAAAAACAGUCAUUUUAUCGUGGCUUUUUUUUUAUAUUGUUUAAAGCAUUUGUAGAAAGAUUUAAAGAAAAAACUAUUUUUUUGAUGCAUACUAAGCCACCCUAAUUUAUAUAUAUAUAUAUAUAUAUGCCGGCUAAAAGCUAUUAUAGCUGUAUAAACCACCCUGUGAUUUUUCACAUAUUUGCCUCCCUCUAUUAGUCACAUGUCUAAUGCUUCAAGUAGUGCUCAUCUUAUGGUAAUUUUUGGGUGUACAAGUGUGUGUGUGGAAGUCCCACAUAGAGAAAAAGUAAAUAAGUUGAUGAAUUAAUAUGACCUAAUUAGGUCUAAACCCAUAGGCUUAAUUUUUUGGGUUAAGUGUUGUUCCAUAUAACAUAUUAAGGUCUAAAUUGAAGUCUCCCCAAGGUGUUAUCUACAUAACAAGUGGUAUUAGAGCUAUGGUAGGUUAUACCUCAAAAGAAAAAAGAAAAAAAAAAAGCCAUGGUAGGUUUUGGCAAGGUGGCGACAAAAUGUGUGUACUUGGAGCUCACACAAGUGUGCAUCAUACAAGGCAAGCCCACAAUGCCCAUAUAAAUUAUCUUGGAAAAAGGCCCUAGAAUAUAGCAUUGUCAACGGUUCUAGAUCAAUGAAGAAUGGCGAAACACGAGGUUCCCAUAGAUAGGAACAGGGUUCCUAUGGAGGGCGGGAAAAAUUAAAGAAGUAGAGAAAUUAAUAUAACAUAAUUGGAUCCAAACUCAUAGGCUUAAACUCUGGGGUUAAGUAGUGUCUCUAUAUGAUAUAUAAGGGCUCAAUUGAAGUGUUCCCAGGGUGUCGUCUCCCUAACAGUAACCACCCCCCCCCCCCUUUCUCCCCCCAUCCCCUCUUUCCCUGGCUUUCCUUUGAUCUCAUUGGAAUAUAACAUUAAAUAAGGACCUGAUAAUGUCAAACAUCACAUGUGCAAGAACGUACAACUACAUUACAUGUAAUUUAUUUUUCUUAAUGAAUUUAGUAAGAUGGCCACAAUGAUGCAUUGAAAGUGAUAUAUCAAAUCAUAAAAGUGAAGUCACUUUAUUCAAUUUCUGUUAUUAAAUAUUUCAUCUAUCGUAGAACUCUGUUGAUAUUGGUUUAGCACCUUAUUGUUUCUAUCACAAAGUAGUUGUUAUUCUACACAUGCAAGUUCCCAUGGAUUGAAUCUUUUGCUUACAACCAAGCAGACCUCCAAUUCAGCAUUAUCUAUCAGAUUUUUUGUUAACUAACUAAUGAAUGUAGAUGAUUUAUUUGCAGGACUCGGAAAUUUGUCAGCUGUGUUUUUAUUUCCUUUACUUAUGUAUUAUUUUCGCUUGGGAGUAACUGGUGCUGCCAUUUCUACUGUUGUCUCUCAGUAUGUGCUUCAACUGUUAGAGAUCUUCCUUUUGCUUCUGUUAUUCAUAGCCUCAUAACUGAAACUAUAUGCUUUCACAUUUUCCAGAUACAUUGUCACCAUUUUGAUGAUCUGGUAUCUUAAUAAAAGGACUGUAUUAUCAGUUCCCAGUGCAAAAAGUUUGCAUUUUGGUGGCUACCUAAAAUCUGGUGAGUUUUAUUCUGCUCUUAUAUUUGGUUUAGGGACAUCUUCUUUGACUCUUUUGCUGAUUCCAUGUGGUUAUAAUGGAAGUCAUUCUCUCCUUUAAUUAAACCUGUUAUGUGUUUCUCAUGUUAUAUAGUCAAAAAAGUAAGACAAUCGAAAUUUUGCAUUUUCUGGAUUGAUUGACUGGUUUUUUAAUAAUGCUUUGAUGUUUCUAGACAAAAUUCGAAGCUACAUAACAUGCUAGGAAAUGGUGAAUAUAAUCACUUAACCAUUAUUUUAAUAUACCACCUCAUCUGUGGGCCCAAACUCCGUCUUAAUAAGUGGGUCCCAAGUCCCAACAUGUGGAAUGUUUAACUUUCAAAUGGGAGGGAAGAUGAAGACAAAGUUCAAACUCAGGACCACUGCUCUAAUACCAUGCUAAACUACCACUUGUCAAAUGGUGAAUGAGCACAUUUAUUUUUUCCACUUUCAAUGUAUAUGACAGUAUCUAAUUCUUUGUGCAUUGAUCACUCACAUACCAGAAUUUUUUGCUUAGGUGGUUUUCUUCUUGGGAGAACCCUAGCUGCUGUUUUGACAAUAACUUUGAGCACAUCAAUGGCUGCUCGUCUUGGACCAUUAGCAAUGGCAGCUCAUCAGAUAUGCUUGCAAGUGUGGUUAUCUGUAUCUCUCCUUGCUGAUGCACAAGCUGCAUCUGGUCAGGUAUGCAAUGUGUAAUCACAAACCUUUUCUAUUAAUCUCCUAUAAAUCCUCCCUUCUUGCAACCAUUCAGAGUCUCCUAACUUUGUUAUUUUCAUAAAUUUCUAAAUAUGGUAACAUCCUGUUACACUUGUAUAUAUUAAAGAGAGAUUAAGGUUGAUACUUUGGCAAUCCAUUGCCUUUAAUUUUCAUGACUAGAAACUCCUUGGUUAGCCUACCUCAGCUUUUAAUAUUCUGGAGUUAUAUUAAAAGGUUUCAUUGGUACCUAUUUGUUGUCCUCACAGUUAAGGUGUUUGUAUAUGAUUGCAAAUUCCUUUUCUUUGCUUUUGUUCUUGUUAAAUCUUGUGAGUGCACUAUUAUUUUAACAUGUUUACAUUAUUUUACAAAAUUAUUGAAGAGCAUUUAUUGAAUGUAGGCUCUUAUUGCAAGUGCCCUUGCUAAAGGUGACUACAGCACUGUGAAAGAAAUCACUCACUUUGCUUUAAAGGUGACUUAUUGCAUGUGUUUAUUGUUUUAGUUUUAGCACAUACUUUGCAAUUGAAAGAAUGUGUUUCUUUUUUCCCGUUUCUCCCUUUGGGAUUAUUUUUUAUAACAUCAUAUAUGUUUCCUCAGACAGGGCUAUUCACUGGCAUUUCCUUAGCUAUCAUAUUGGGCGUGUCUUUUGGGUCAUUAGCUACAUUGUUCACUAAUGAUUCUGAAGUGUUAGGAAUUGUAAGAUCCGGGUUGUUGGUAUGUAUCUCUGUUGGUCUUGGAUCGUGUCCAAUUUUUGUUAUAUGUUUCAUCAUUUUGUUUAUAAGCUCCUACCUAAAUUUGCUACAGUUUGUCAGCGCCAGUCAACCUAUCAAUGCUCUGGCUUAUAUAUUUGAUGGCCUCCAUUAUGGAAUUUCAGACUUUUCAUAUGCAGCUAUCUCUAUGGUGAGCUGCCUUGUCAUAUUGAUUAACUAUUUAGAUAAGAUAGUGGUCAUGAUAUUAACCCAUUUGAUUAGUUUAUAUCAUUUAUUUUAACAUAUGCAAAUAAUUUUCAGAUGUUGGUAGGGGCAAUGUCUUCUGCAUUUUUGCUCUACGCUCCCUCCGUUAUUGGUCUUUCGGGUGUUUGGUCUGGUUUAACUCUUUUCAUGGGCCUGCGAACAGUGGCUGGAUACAUGAGGUAUGUGCAGAAUUGUGCAAAAUCUUUUUUCUCUCUCUUCACCAUCACUAUCCUUUGCAAAUUGCUACAAGGUUAAAUUUGACAUUUACAAGCUAUGAUUCAAGUUGAUAUGGCACAUAGAUAAUCAAACUUUGGGUCAAGCUCAUCGAACACUUGUAUUAAUGUGAUUCUACUGUAUUUAUUUGAGGUUUCUGCAUAUCGACCACACUUUAGUAUGCAGUGGAUGAAUUUGGAUAUGAAUAUUAAGAUUUUGCUCUUAGCAACACUCGUUAAAUUUAAUUGUUCAUUUUUCUUAGUGGAAAAUAAACUUUGAUAUUGACUUCACUUACAAGAUCUCUUGAGAUUGAUAUUAUCAUGUUACUCUGGCCAUAGUAUUAGCAUAUGUGAUGGACUAAAUUCCAACUGGCCACUUUUGUGCUUUCAGAUUAUCAUCCAAAAAUGGUCCAUGGUGGUUCUUGCAGGAGGACAUCCCUAGCUUAAAGGUUAGUUAUGAGAGGAAGCAAGUUCUUUAUUUACAAUGUUUUGCUUAUAAGGUUAGAUACUUAAAAUAGCAUUGUAUCUAUAAUCCAUGACCUUCAUGUGAAUGUUUAUUACCACUUUGUAUAUUGUGACACAAUAUUUUGUGCUAGUGUAACCCCAAAUUAUAUCUAGCUAAGAUUCCAGCACAGUCUUACCAAAGGUUACUGCAAUAUAAGCAGGACACCGAGGGUAAAAUCUCAUUCUAGCUAAAAGUACGGGGCUUCUUAAAUCGCAAGUAAACACUUUGAAAUCCACUAGAUGAAAGAAAAUAACUUGGAAAAAUUUUUAUUGAUAAUAAACUCAAUUUUCAUUUUUACAACAUAAGGACCAAUUUAUAGGCUCCACAAAACCAAAUUCUCAAAUACCAUAAUUAAUACACUACCAUAUAAUAUUACAAGAAAUAUCAAAGAUUAACAUACAACAAAAAUUGACCCCAUGUUUUGUCCUACAUCAUGUACAAAAUCUCUUUCUAAGGUUGAAAGUGCUAGGUAGGAUGGCUCAAUUUUUGUUAAUGAAGGUCCCACCAGAAUCUAGAUUCUAGGAUAAAGAGAGCAAGGGUGCCUUCACCACUACAGCUUUUUGAUGAACCUAAAAUAUUGAUUCUAUAAACUGAGUUAGUUCAUUGUGGAGAGGAUUCUCUCUAUCUCUCUCUUUCUCAUGUGAUGAAACAACAUAUACUAUCACCUUGUGUUAAUUCCUACAAUCCAAUUUCGGGGUCUCAUAGUUUUUUAUUUACUUCUGUAUCAGGUUGCCAUUUGA